AAGUCGUAACAAGGUUUCCGUAGGUGAACCUGCGGAAGGAUCAUUAUCGAAUCAACAGAGGGUUGUUGCUGGGUGUCAAAGACAUCAAGUGCACGCCUUCGUUCGUUCUCAAACCCCUGUGCACCUAUUGUAGGCUUGGUCUAGGGCUGACUUCGGUCAGUUUGAAGCCAGCCUAUGUUUUACACACGCUUCAGUUUAGAAUGUCAUUUGCGGACAACGCAUCUUAUACAACUUUCAGCAACGGAUCUCUUGGCUCUC
rnacentral:misc_RNA from 1 species